AAGAGGAUCACGGACCAAUUUAAGAGAAUUUUGCUUGACAAAAAGUGUACAACAGUUUUUAUAGAAUAGGAGCAUGACAAAAGGUGACAUGAUUCUUUACUUCAUUUUUUUACAAUAUGAUUGGUUUUUCCAUAUGUAUAAUUCUCUGUUACUAGGUAAAAGCAAAUCUGGAUUUCUUGAUUACUUCAGCUUGUUACUCAAGUCAUGAGGUUAUAUAUUUAGAAAGCUGUUUAGUUUAGUUUCCCCUUUUUUAUAGACACAUUUUGGCCCCAGUGUUAGGGACAUUUAGUUUUCAAAAGCAUAUAAAUGUUAAUCCUGAAAGAAAAAGGAAUGUUAGUUAUGCCAACAGUUGACCUUCAGGUCCCUUGAUAUAAUUUAUGAUCUACAUCAAUUUAAAACACUAAUGAAAACAACCGAAACAAGUAAAUACCAGCGUCUCACUGCAGGACAUCCGUUUACAGAUCUCUUCAAGAUUAUCUUGGACCUCUCAAAUUCAGUGCCAAUAAAUUGUCUAAAGAUCAAAAACUUUGGGGACAAUUUUAUAAUGUUUUCUAUGAAGAAUAUUUAGACAUUUUUAAACUUUUUAAAACAAUUAUUAAUUUGUUAUUAAUUAAUAACAUAUUGUGGAAAAUGCUAAUUAAGCAAAAAUACACCUUAAUCUUCAAAAUUAAAUUCUAGAUUAAGAAACUUGGCCUGAGAGGUCAAUUUUAUAGGGUACAUUUUUUUUUUUUUUUUUUAAUUCACAUAAA